CCAUAUAUUUGGUAUUCAAUUUUUGGUAUGGACCAUGCAUUUGCUAUUCAAAUGGUGGUGUAAACCAUGUAUUUGCUAUUCAAAUGGUGGUGUAGAUCCGGUAUUUGAUAAUCAUCUGUGUGCUUUGCCAGAUUUCUUACCCAAGAGUCACAAUUCUCAAAGGUUAAAAGGUUUUGUAACAGUAAGUUAACAGUAAUGUGAGUUUGAAUGAGGAUGCUGCAUUAAAUAGUGUCUGAUGAAAAAUAUUUAUAAAAUAUUAAAAACAAUUUUAAAUUAUCUUUUUACUUGUGUUAUAAUGUCCAUAAGCCAUUUUUGACUUCUUAGUUUGAGAAAAUUAGUGUAUUACACUUGUUUAUAAAAGUAAGCAAUAGAAUUUAUAAUUAGUAAGAUUGUACACUUAGCACUAGCAUCUGAGCCACUUUGAAUGGUGCCUGUGUUUGAACUGUUUUUACCUAUGACAGUGAAACAACUUUCUUCUUGAGCUUACUCAAUCCUAAACUGAUGUUAGAAUUUAAUUAGGUUAAUUCAGCAUAUGAAUUGUUUCUGACCUUAAAACUUAAAAAAAUAAAAAAAAUUGUAUUCUUAAGCAUACUUAUUCUUAAACUCAGUGAGGUUAGUUCAGAUAUAAAUUGUUUCUUACCUAAUAACUUACAAAAAAUUUCUUUUUUUUUAUUAUCUUAAUUGCCUUUUCUUGUGACUUGUAAACAAAGUUAAUAGGGUAUUGAUAGGUAGUUCAUAGUUAAUCUGAACAAUGCUUCACUGGGAAGCUGUUGCAACAGUGUACACACUCAAACAUAGAGUGUGUUUGUUUUUUUUAUUUGAUAUAUUACAAAACAAAAAGUAAUAAGGAGAAUUGAAACCUGAAUCAGGCCUAGUGGCAUCUUCCUUGGUUUAAGUCCGUUUGAGUGUACAAAUUCAUUUGUGAAUAUGAACGUGAAUUGUAAAUAUUUUAGAUACUGUUAUCAUUCUUUGUACAGGAUAUACUUGUAUGUAUGGAUCUAUUUCUGUAGCUUUGUGCAAGCGAGGAAAAUAUCAAGAUAUUUUUUACUCUAUUUUUUUUAAACCAUUUCUUUGAGAAUAUGUUCUUGAUGGUAGAUUUCAAGAUAAUUUGUUUUAUGAAUGUAUUUAGUUAUUAUAUUUUUUGCCAGAUGCUGGACAGAAUUAGAGAUCAAAUGUAAUGUUACCAAAUAUUUAUGGUCUGAAUGGCCAAGAGUAUACUAAUGAAGUAAACAAGAAAUGUAGAAGUUUUUUAAACAUUUUUGAAAAAGUAAAGAAUUUAGAGAUUUUACUGUGUUGCAUUUUUUGAAAAUGGUUAUGGAAAAUGGUUUAUACUUUUUUGAAUGAGAUAAGACAAGUAGUAAUUAAGGUUUUAUUUCCACUAAAAAGUGAUGAGAUAUGGAGUUAAGUCAUCUUUUCUCUCUUUCAAUUUUGAAAGAUUAGAUCUUAGAUUAUUUUGACAGACUAAAUUUUCUAUUACUCAAGAAUAGUGUAAAAGGUAAAGAUCUUUAUUUUUAAAUAAUAGAUAAAAGUAACAAGAUAAAUUUAUAUCUAUGAGAAAUGUUGUUAAUGUCUGGAUAAUAGCACUUUAUUGGUAAGAAUCAUGUAAUGAUUCAGAGCUGUUUAUGUUAGGAUAGUGGCUUUGUGUUGAUAAGAACUAUACAAUGAUUGAGUUAGAUAACUGUCGAAGUUAGGUUUGUGUUAGUUUUUUUAUAAGAACCUUGUAAUGAUUAGAUAGAUAAUUAUCAGUGUUAGGUUUGUGAUUGUUUGAUAAGAACUGUGUAAUGAUUGAGAUAAGUAAUUGUUAAUGUUAGGUUUGAUAAGAACCAUGUAAUGACUGAGAUAGACAACUGUUGAUGUUAGGAUUGUGGUUGUUUGAUAAUAACCAUGUAAUGAUUGAGAUAAGUAAUUGGUUAUGUUAGGAUAAUGGCUGGUUGUAGUGAAAAGCUACGUAAUGAUUGAGAUAGGUAAUUGUUGAUGUUAGGAUAAUGGCUGGUUAUAGUGAAAGGCUACAUAAUGAUUGAGAUUGGUAAUUGUUGAUGUUAGGAUAAUGGCUGGUUGUCAAAGCCUACGUAAUGAUUGAGAUAGGUAAUUGUUGAUGUUAGGAUAGCGGCUGGUUGUUGUGAAUGGUUAUACAGUGAUUGAGGUAGGAGGAUUUUAAUGUUGGUGUGGUAUAUAGCAAUUGUAUGUUGAUAGGGACCAGUGGCAAUUGAGGCAGGAAAUUACUGAUGGCUUAGUAUCAUUAAAACAUUUCUUAAUAUAUUGAGUCACCUAUAAUAAACCCA